UACGUAGGGUGCGAGCGUUAAUCGGAAUUACUGGGCGUAAAGCGUGCGCAGGCGGUUCGUUAUGUCCGAUGUGAAAGCCCCGAGCUCAACUUGGGAAUGGCAUUGGAAACUGGCGGGCUGGAGUGUGGCAGAGGGGGGGUGGAAUUCCACGUGUAGCAGUGAAAUGCGUAGAGAUGUGGAGGAACACCGAUGGCGAAGGCAGCCCCCCUGGGCCAACACGUGACACCUGAGGCACGAAAGCGUGGGGAGCAAACAGG
rnacentral:rRNA from 1 species